UAUAACGGAGACAAACACUGAAGUGAGGUAACACUAGAUCUAUAACGGAGACAAACACUGAAGUGAUGUAACACUAGCUCUAUAACGGAGACAAACACUGAAGUGAUGUAACACUAGUUCUCUAACGGAGAGAGAAGUGAUGUAACACUAGAUCUAUAACGGAGACAGAAGUGAGGUAACACUAGUUCUAUAACGGAGACAAACACUGAAGUGAUGUAACACUAGUUAUCAUCGGAGUGGAAUUAAAAGUCUGGUUUUACACUGGAAUGUAGAGUAUCGGAAUCGAAUCAAUGGUUUUAGACUAGAAUGUAGAGUAUUUGAGUAUUGUUUUUCAUUUUCAUUUUUGAUAUUUAGCAUUAUGCUUUCAAUAUGUGAUUCCUACGUUGAUAUACCCAGCUGUUGCCUGACAAUAACUGGAUUAAGAAAAAUAUUAAACACAUGUAUGUGUAGCAAUAUAGAUAUUAACUGUACUAAGACAACACUCUCGUGUUACUGUUAAUUAAAUUGAUUAUAUUUCAGUCUGAUGUAGGGGAUAUGUGAUCCUAUACCUGAAAGUUGGCAUUAAAUGUUAUAUCAUUAUUUGA